AACCUAGCACACCUGCGGUGUGUACCUGCGGAAGGAUCAUUACCGAGUGAGGGCCCUCCGGGUCCAACCUCCCACCCGUGUUUAACGAACCUUGUUGCUUCGGCGGGCCCGCCUCACGGCCGCCGGGGGGCACUCCGCCCCCGGGCCCGCGCCCGCCGAAGACACCUGUGAACGCUGUCUGAAGUUGCAGUCUGAGACACUAGCUCAAUCAGUUAAAACUUUUAGCAAUGGAUCUCAGAU
rnacentral:misc_RNA from 1 species